AUUUGAACAGUCACUGAAGACGCGCGACUUUAUCUGGUGUAAAUGCUAAAUUGUUGUGGUAAUGACAUCCUCAUACUUAACAUCAGAGUCGGACGGUGACGAGGAAGAUCUUUUA